GAUGAACGCUAGCGGCAGGCCUAAUACAUGCAAGUCGGACGGGAUUGGAGAGCUUGCUUUCCAUGAGAGUGGCGCACGGGUGCGUAACACGUAUGUAACCUACCUUAAUCUGGGGGAUAGCCUCUCGAAAGAGGGAUUAACACCGCAUAACAUUACCGGACAGCAUUUUUUGGUAAUCAAAUAUUUAUCGGAUUAAGAUGGGCAUGCGGAACAUUAGCUAGUUGGUAAGGUAACGGCUUACCAAGGCUACGAUGUUUAGGGGAUCUGAGAGGAUGACCCCCCACACUGGUACUGAGACACGGACCAGACUCCUACGGGAGGCAGCAGUAAGGAAUAUUGGUCAAUGGGCGCAAGCCUGAACCAGCCAUGCCGCGUGCAGGAAGACGGCCCUACGGGUUGUAAACUGCUUUUGUACCGGAAUAAACCCUUUUACGUGUAAGAGGCUGAAUGUACGGUAAGAAUAAGGAUCGGCUAACUCCGUGCCAGCCGCCGCAGUAA
rnacentral:rRNA from 1 species